rnacentral:misc_RNA from 1 species
GAAUGAAUGUAGAGUCGGCUGUCGCUGGUCCCUUCGGGGGCAUGUGCACGCCUUCUCUUUCAUCCACACACACCUGUGCACUUGUGAGACGGACGCCCGAGGGCUUCCGUCUGCUCUACAUAAACUCAUAUCUAUAAUUUGAAUGUAAUUGAUGUAAUACAUCUUUAAACUAAGUUUCAACAACGGAUCUCUUGGCUCU